UGGGGAAUCUUGCACAAUGGGGGAAACCCUGAUGCAGCGACGCCGCGUGAGUGAUGAAGCCCUUCGGGGUGUAAAGCUCUUUCGGCAGGGACGAUAAUGACGGUACCUGCAGAAGAAGCUGCGGCUAACUACGUGCCAGCAGCCGCGGUAAUACGUAGGCAGCAAGCGUUGUUCGGAAUUACUGGGCGUAAAGAGUGCGUAGGCGGUUUGGCAAGUUUGGUGUGAAAUCUCCUGGCUUAACUGGGAGGGUGCGCCGAAAACUGUCAGGCUAGAGUGUGGGAGAGGAAAGCGGAAUUCCUGGUGUAGGCGGUAGAAAUGCGUAGAUAUCAGGAGGAACACCUGCGGUGUAGACGGCUUUCUGGACCACUACUGACGCUGAGGCACGAAAGCGUGGGGAGCAAACAGGAUUAGAUACCCUGGUAGUCCACGCCCUAAAACGAUGCGGACUUGGUGUUGGCCCUUCAUUGGGUCAGUGCCGCAGUUAACGCGGUAAGUCCGCCGCCUGGGGAGUACGGUCGCAAGGCUGAAACUCAAAUGAAUUGACGGGGUCAUAGC
rnacentral:rRNA from 1 species